rnacentral:rRNA from 1 species
UAGGGAAUCUUCCGCAAUGGACGCAAGUCUGACGGAGCAACGCCGCGUGAGUGAAGAAGGAUUUCGGUUCGUAAAACUCUGUUGUUAGAGAAGAACAGCGCAUAGAGUAACUGUUAUGCGUGUGACGGUAUCUAACCAGAAAGCCACGGCUAACUACGUGCCAGCAGCCGCGGUAAUACGUAGGUGGCAAGCGUUGUCCGGAUUUAUUGGGCGUAAAGCGAGCGCAGGCGGUCAAUUAAGUCUGAUGUGAAAGCCCCCGGCUCAACCGGGGAGGGUCAUUGGAAACUGGUUGACUUGAGUGCAGAAGAGGAGAGUGGAAUUCCAUGUGUAGCGGUAAAAUGCGUAGAUAUAUGGAGGAACACCAGUGGCGACGGCGACUCUCUGGUCUGUAACUGACGCUGAGGCUCGAAAGCGUGGGUAGCAAACAGG